GAUGAGAUGACCGAGUGGUUAAGGCGAUGGACUAUUAAGCCAUUGUGCUCUGCACGCGUGGGUUCGGGUCCCAAAUUUCAACU
rnacentral:tRNA from 1 species